UAGCUGAUCCUCGUCGCUGUGAG
rnacentral:piRNA from 1 species